GGGCUACGAUUCUUUUGCAGCGCUUAUUGCGCGGCGAAAACCUUACACACUAUGUUUUUUUAAUUUGAAACUAUUGCUUUGGUCUGGCUUAGAAAUAGGUUGGGCCAAAGGUUUUAUCAAAACUUCAAUAUUUAUUAUUGAAUUGUUAUUUUUAAUUUUAUGUCAAUUUGUUGAUUAAUAUCAAAAAUCUUCAAAACUUUCAACAACGGAUCUCUUGGUUCUCGCAUCGAUGAAGAACGCAGCGAAAUGCGAUAAGUAAUAUGAAUUGCAGAUUUUCGUGAAUCAUCGAAUCUUUGAACGCACAUUGCGCCCUUUGGUAUUCCAAAGGGCAUGCCUGUUUGAGCGUCAUUUCUCUCUCAAAUCUUCGGAUUUGGUUUUGAGUGAUACUCUUAGUCAGACUAAGCGUUUGCUUGAAAUGUAUUGGCAUGAGUGGUACUAGAUAGUGCUGAACUGUUUUCAAUGUAUUAGGUUUAUCCAACUCAUUGACCAGUAAAGUAUUUGUUUAUUACACAGGCUCGGCCUUACAACAACAAACAAAGUUUGACCUCAAAUCAGGUAGGACUACCCGCUGAACUUAAGCAUAUCAUAGCGCGGAGAGAGAGAGAAA
rnacentral:rRNA from 1 species